rnacentral:rRNA from 1 species
AUAAAAGGCAUCUUUUAUCUUUUAAAAGACCUAGUAAUAGGUAUGCUUUAGGAGGGGCUUGCGCCAUAUUAGUUAGUUGGUAGGGUAAUGGCCUACCAAGACGAUGAUGUGUAGCUGGACUGAGAGGUUGAACAGCCACAUUGGGACUGAGACACGGCCCAAACUCCUACGGGAGGCAGCAGUAGGGAAUUUUCGGCAAUGGAGGAAACUCUGACCGAGCAACGCCGCGUGAAUGACGAAGUACUUCGGUAUGUAAAGUUCUUUUAUCAAGGAAGAAAAGCAAAUGGCGAACCAUUUGUUUGCCGGUACUUGAUGAAUAAGCCCCGGCUAAUUAUGUGCCAGCAGCCGCGGUAAGACAUAAGGGGCAAGUGUUAUCCGGAAUUAUUGGGCGUAAAGGGUGCGUAGGCGGUCUAGUAAGUCAGUGGUGUAAUGGCAACGCUUAACGUUGUCCGGCUAUUGAAACUGCUAAACUUGAGUUAGAUAGAGGCGAGUGGAAUUCCAUGUGUAGCGGUAAAAUGCGUAAAUAUAUGGAGGAACACCAGAGGCGUAGGCGGCUCGCUGGGUCUUAACUGACGCUGAGGCACGAAAGCGUGGGGAGCAAACAGGAUUAGAUACCCUGGUAGUCCACGCCGUAAACGAUGAGUACUAAGUGUCGGGUUAAACCGGUACUGAAGUUAACACAUUAAGUACUCCGCCUGAGUAGUACGUACGCAAGUAUGAAACUUAAAGGAAUUGACGGGACUCCGCACAAGCGGUGGAUCAUGUUGUUUAAUUCGAAGAUACCCGAAAAACCUUACCAGGUCUUGACAUGUUUUUGCAAAAUGAUAGUAAUAUCGUGGAGGUUACCAGAAACACAGGUGGUGCAUGGUUGUCGUCAGCUCGUGUCGUGAGAUGUUAGGUUAAGUCCUAAAACGAGCGAAACCCUUAUCGUUAGUUGCCAGCACGUUAUGGUGGGGACUUUAACGAGACUGCCAAUGAUAAAUUGGAGGAAGGUGAGGAUCACGUCAAAUCAGCAUGCCCCUUAUGACCUGGGCUACAAACGUGAUACAAUGGCUGUUACAAAGGGUAGCUGAAACGCAAGUUCUUGGCCAAUCCCCAAAAACAGUCCCAGUCCGGAUUGAAGUCUGCAACUCGACUUCAUGAAGUUGGAAUCGCUAGUAAUCGCGAAUCAGCAUGUCGCGGUGAAUACGUUCUCGGGGUUUGUACACACCGCCCGUCAAACCACGAAAGUUGGCAAUACCCCAAAACGGUAGCCUAACUCGUUUAUUCGAGAGGGCGCCGUCUAAUGUAGGGUCG